GAUGAACGCUGGCGGCGUGCCUAAUACAUGCAAGUCGAGCGAACGGACGAGAAGCUUGCUUCUCUGAUGUUAGCGGCGGACGGGUGAGUAACACGUGGAUAACCUACCUAUAAGACUGUGAUAACUUCGGGAAACCGGAGCUAAUACCGGAUGAUAUUUUGAACCGCAUGGUUCAAAAGUGAAAGACGGUCUUGCUGUCACUUAUAGAUGGAUCCGCGCUGCAUUAGCUAGUUGGUAAGGUAACGGGUUACCAAGGCAACGAUGCAUAGCCGACCUGAGAGGGUGAUCGGCAACACUGGCACUGAGACACGGUCCAGACUCCUACGGGGGGCAGCAGUAGGGACUCUUCCGCAAUGGGCGAAAGCCUGACGGAGCAACGCCGCGUGAGUGAUGACGGUCUUCGGAUCGUAAAACUCUGUUAUUAGGGAAGAACAUAUGUGUAAGUAACUGUGCAGAUAUUGACGGUACCUAAUCAGAAAGCCACGGCUAACUACGUG
rnacentral:rRNA from 1 species